AUGGAGAGAAGGAUGAAGAUGGGGGAGGAGAGAGAGAGGGUGGUCAGAGAGAGCGGGAUGGAGAGAAGGAGGAAGAUGGGGGAGGAGAGAGAGAGGGUGGUCAGAGAGAGCGGGAUGGAGAGAAGGAUGAAGAUGGGGGAGGAGAGAGAGAGGGUGGUCAGAGAGAGCGGGAUGGAGAGAAGGAGGAAGAUGGGGGAGGAGAGAGAGAGGCGGAGCUGCAUCUGUACGCUGUGUCGCCUACGUCUCGGAUCUACCUGCACCUGCAAAGCUCCUGGAACAGUUACAGUAUAAGGUCGACGUUGCUGUUGGACCCCCUCUACAGAAGGAGAUGCAAUGUCAUGUUGAACACCUCAACACAGAAACUCCCCCCCCAUUAGGUACUUCCUAAUACUGUUCCCCAAAUCAGAUGCUGUUGGUGUUCCCAUCAGGGUCAUGUUCAGUUGACACGAAACGGAAGAAAUCUAAUCAAACUACCUGAAUUUGUCCAAUAAGAAACGCUUGUUUUGUUGCCCGAAUGAAAGACGGCCCUGAUUCUGUUCCUCCAUCAGGUACUGUUCCCCAGUUGAUAGUUUUCCCCAUCAGAUACUGUUCCAACAUGUUGUUCCAUGGUCACUCCCCCCCCCCUGUCGGUGUGUAGUUGGGAGCGUACAGCCCACCUGUUCCGCCAGCUGAGUGGUGAGCUGCUUCAGGAGGGCAUUAGUCUGGAGAGCCUAUAUCUGCUCCUCCAGGAGCUCCGCACCGCAGCCCACCGCAGCAUCACCCUCAGGAAACUCUUCUGGAGGGUGAGAUCGCAUGGAUCUUUGUGUGUGUGUGUGUGUGUGUGUGUGUGUGUGUGUGUGUGUGUGUGUGUGUGUGUGUUAGUCCAAUGACAUGUUUCCAUUCCUGGUGCGGAUGCUGGAAGACUCCCUGCGGAGCUAUCAGAGGCCGGAGACCAACACAGCAGACAGCCUACUGCGAGUGACACUAUGUGUGUGGGUGUGUGUGAGCACAAAGUUGACAGCCUACUUUGAGUGACUACAGUGAUCCUUGGUUAACACCGGGUUAAGACUACCUGUUAUCUUUUAUAACAUCACCUCCGUCACUUGAACAGGUUUAGUAGAGUGCCACUGUGAAACACCUCAGUGUGGAUUGACUAAGGAACCCCGCUGGGUUUUCUUUGGAGGGGUUUUAAGCAGCUUUGUCUUUAUGCAACUAGAUUAUGGGUUUAAUGUGGAUCUCUGUGUCACUACUACACUGUCACGUAGGUCAGGUUAGGUGACAGGUGACAAGUCUCAGUAGCCCCCUCCAGUGGUAAAGAAUAUAAAGGUUAAACUCCAUCAUACCUGUUCUCAAAAUGGGUUUAUCUCUGACCCUAACCCUUUUUGUCUCCUGUGUCCAGGCUGUGUACUCCGAUCGCUCAGACCCUGGCCUUGACGUUCAGAGAGACAGAGAUCGAGCUGGCUCGACUCAACAUGCUUACGGUUAAGCAGUGAGUACACACGCACAUUCUCUCCUUCCUUCCCUCUCUUUCUCCCUCCCUGUUUCUCUGUCUCUCUCUCUCUCCCUUGAUAUCAUAGAAGUACAGUAUAUCUAACAGGAGAGUGUGUUGUCCCUGUCUGCAGAGGUGCCCUGACAGCCAGGCUGUUACCAGAGUUGGUGUGUGAACCAGAGUUCCAGAGCCAGAGCCAGACCCAGGGUUUGAGGAGCGUCUCCCCAGACUCAAGACAGGGCUCGCCCCAACAUACAGAGGUGAGUGUGGGCCAUGGAUAUAAUUGGUUGGACAUAAAAAAUGUGCGUGGUUGUAUAUGUUUAUGUUGGGGCUACAGGUUAGCAAUGAACCCCGAGUCGGGAUUGCUAACAAGGCUGGAAAUUCAAAACAUCAAAAAUCUAAUAAUUUCAAUUUCUCAAACAAUCAACUAUUUUACACAAUUUAAAUGAUAAACAUCUCCUUAAUCUAACCACAUUGUUCGAUUUUCAAAGAGGCUUUACGGCAAAAGCAUAAAGUUAGAUUAUGUUAGGACAGUACAUAGCCACAAAAGUACAAACAUCCAUUUUCAAUUCAAGGUCAGGCGUCACCAAAAGCAGAAACCAGCUAGAAUUAUGCACUAACUUUUGUCAAUCUCCAUCAGAUGACACUCCUAGGACAUUAUGUUAUACAAUACAUGCAUUUUUUGUUCCAUCAAGUUCAUAUUUAUAUCCAAAAACAGCAUUUUACAGUAGCGUGAAAUUCAGAUUUUUUUCUUCUCUGAAAUGCUUCCGGUGAACAUAACAAAAUUACUAUUCGAAAACAUUGGUAAAUUAUAAUAUUGUCAUUCAAAGAAUAAUAUAUUAUCAUCUCGUAAUUGCUACCGAAUGGCCAGAUCUCAAAAUAACUUUACUGGGAAAUCACAUUUUGCAAUAAACGGGGUGCUAUGCUAAGAACAACAGGCUAUGCUAUACAGUUAGCAUCAUCUAAAAUCGAUAAUAACAUUGUAAGUAUCCCCUUACCUUUGAUUAUCUCCAUCAGAAGGCAGGCAUCCCAGGUCCGGAAGGCAUCCCAGGUCCGGAACAAAUGUGGUUUCUUUUGACAAAGUUCAUAAUUUAUGUCCAAAUAACACCAAGUACUUAGCGUUCAUUAUGCUCCCACAAAACGUGGUGGGGGGAGUGUAGNNNNNNNNNNNNNNNNNNNNNNNNNNNNNNNNNNNNNNNNNNNNNNNNNNNNNNNNNNNNNNNNNNNNNNNNNNNAGGUUGUUUAGCAUUAAUCUUUUGGUCCAUUUUUAACGUUAAACAUCAGUAAUAUUUUCACACAACCUAUCCUAUGUCUAGAUAAACAAUGAUGAAAACUCACGCUUCUCAGAUUUAUGCGCAGGCGCAAAAAAAUGAAGUGAUGACAUGUCAACUUCCUUGGAUUCUAAUUUGCUCUCUGUUUAUCAUAGACGCUUCAAACAACUUUAUAAAGAUCGUUGACAUCUAGUGGAAGCCGUAGGAGUUGCGAAAUGAAUCCUUUCUCACUAUGGUAUCUAUAAAACAAUGACACUAAAUAGUACAGUCACAAAAUUCACAUUUUUUUUUAAAUCUAUUUUUCACAGGUUUUUGCCUGCAAUAUGAGUUUUGUUAUACUUACAGACACCAUUCAAACUGUUUUAGAAAAUUCAGAGUGUUUUCUAUCCGAAUGUGUUAAUAAUAUGCAUAUCCUAGCUUCUGAGUUGGUGUAGGAGGCAGUUAAAAAUGGGCACAUAUUUUUUUCAAAAUGUCUCAAUACUGCCCCCGAGCCCCAACAGGUUUUAUUAAGAUCCCCAUUAGCUGUAGCAAAAUUAGCAGCUACUCUUCCUGGGGUCCACACAAAACAUGAAACAUAAUACAGAAUGACAUAAUACAGAACAUCAUUAGACAAGGACAGAACUACAUACAUUUUUUUUAAAGGCACACGUAGCCUACAUAUCAAUGCAUACACACAAACUGUCUAGGUCAAAUAGGGGGGAGUUGUUGUGUUGCUUUAUCUGUUUUUUGAAACCAGGUUUGCUGUUUAUUUGAGCAAUAUGAGAUGGAAGGAAGUUCCAUGCAAUAAGGGCUCUAUAUAAUACUGUAUGCUGUCUUGAAUUUGUUCUGGAUUUGGGGACUGUGAAAAGACCCCUGGUGGCAUGUCUGGUGGGAUAAGUGUGUGUCAGAGCUGUGUGUAAGUUGACUAUGCAAACAAUUUGGGAUUUUCAACACAUUAAUGUUUCUUAUUAAAAGAAGUGAUGCAGUCAGUCUCUCCUCAACUCUUAGCCUAGAGAGACUAGCAUGCAUAGUAUUUAUAUCAGCCCUCUGAUUGCAUCUUAACUAGGUAUUUUCUUGAAGCACUGGACCACACGACUGGACAAUAAUCAGGAUUAGACAAAACUAGAGCCUGCAGAACUUGCUUUUUGGAGUGUUGUGUCAAAAAAGCAGAGCAUCUCUUUAUUACGGCUAUACCUCUCCCCAUCAUUACAACCAUUGAAUCUAUAUGUUUUGACCAUGACAGUUUACAAUCUAAGGUAACGCCAAGUAAUUUAGUCUCCUCAACUUGUUCAACCGCCACACCAUUCAUUACCAGAUUCAGCUGAGGUCUAGCACUUAAGGAAUGAUUUGUACCAAAUACAAUGCUCUUAGUUUUAGAGAUGUUCAGGACCAGUUUAUUACUGGCCACCCAUUCCAAAACAGACUUUACAUGUUUGACAUUAGAGAAGCUUCCAUUAAAAACCAUUUGAGUUCUAUUAGAUAGAUAGCUCUGAAUCCACAUUAUGGCAGAGAUUGAAAAGCCAUAGCACAUACAUUUAUUUCAACAAGAGGUUAUAACCAAUAAUAUCAAAGGCCGCACUGAAAUCUAACAGUACAGCUCCCACAAUCUUCUUCUUAACGAUUUCUUUCAACCAAUCAUCAGUCAUUUGUGUCAGUGCAGUACAUGUUGAGUGCCCUUCUCUAUAAGCAUGCUGAAAGUCUGUUGUUAAUUUGUUUACAGAGAAAUAGCACCAUAUUUAGUCAAACACCAUUUUUUCCAACAGUUUGCUAAGAGCCGGCAGCAAGCUUAUAGGUCUGCUGUUAGAACCAGUAAAGGCCGCUUUACUAUUCUUGGGUAGCGGAAUUAAUUUGGCUUCCUUCCAGGCCUGAGGACAAAG
rnacentral:lncRNA from 8 species